rnacentral:lncRNA from 1 species
AUUUUGAGAUAAAAUACUCAGUUUCUUUCAGGGCCUGCCAUCUAUCACGUGAUGCUGUACUAAAGUCGGAUCGGAAUUUGGUGUCUUAUUACCACGGAGUCUGCUUUGUCAACCUUCAGAUUUCUGUUUUAAAGUUAAUGCUGGUCAGCUGUGCCUGAAUUCCAAAAGAGGGGAUAAUGAGGGAAGGUGAAGAAGGAGCUGGACCCUGACGACAGCCAUUUGAACUUGGAUGAGACGACGAAGCUCCUGCAGGACCUGCACGAAGCACAGGCGGAGCGCGGCGGCUCUCGGCCGUCGUCCAACCUCAGCUCCCUGUCCAACGCCUCCGAGAGGGACCAGCACCACCUGGGAUGCAGCAGAAAGGUACCACCUUGGAAGCUGAGCGCCCCCCUCGCCAGACACCAGACCUGCUGGCUCCUGAAUCUUGGACUUCCAGCCUCCAGAAUGGGGAGAAAUAAGUUUCUGUUCUUUAAAAUUACUCCGUCUCAGGUAUUUUGUUACAGCAGCACAUGGGGAUUGAGACUGGGUGUGCAGGUGGUGGAGGAGGGUGUGCAGGUGUGUU